GGCAGUUCUCAAGUGACGCACCCCAGAAUCAAGCUCCCUCCUCUCUGGUUCUGGGUGCGUCACUGGAGAACCACC
rfam:Myotis davidii contig32126, whole genome shotgun sequence.